rnacentral:rRNA from 1 species
AAGUCUGGUGCCAGCAGCCGCGGUAAUUCCAGCUCCAAUAGCGUAUAUUAAAAUUGUUGCGUCUAAAAAGCUCGUAGUUUGAAAACUUGCCUUGGCUUACAACAGGUUCCUAACUGGGGCUACCGUUUGUUGAGAGCAAAUAUCGAUGACUGUUUUUGCCGACUUCAGUGUUUGGCUUAUAAGAGUUAUCAAAUAUCACUUUGAUUAAAUUAGAGUGCUUAAAGCAAGUGUGUUACUUGGAUAUAAAUGCAUGGAAUGAUGGAAUAUGUUGUUGUUCUAUUUGUUGGUUUUUGAACGAUAAAAUGAUUGAAAGGAACUGUUGGGGGCAUUCGUAUUGUUGUGAGAGAGGUGAAAUUCUUAGACCACAGCAAGACGAACUACUGCGAAAGCAUUUGCCAAGAAUGUUUUCAUUGAUCAAGAACGAAAGUUAGAGGUUCGAAGGCGAUCAGAUACCGCCCUAGUUCUAACCAUAA